rnacentral:misc_RNA from 1 species
CAGAGUUGCAAAACUCCCAAACCAUUGUGGACGAACUUGACAGUUGCUUCGGCAGGUCGGCCCAGCGCCGCUCGGUGGCUCCUCGUGAGCCCGCCUGCCGGAGUCACAUAAACUCUUGAUUAUUAUUGGCAUCUCUGAGUGAUUUAUCAAUAAGUCA